GGCAUGAACCAACAAUCAAAAAUUGCAUUAGUUCUUCCUUGAAGUCAAUUUGGUGGUUUGCCGUCUCCUUGCUUUUAAUUAACUCUGUGGGGUAGACACAUCUUUUGUUACAGGUUUCCAUUUUGCAUGUAUUCAUACACUAGGAACCGAUGCUUCCCAUCUGCACAGUAGCCUAUUAAGGAAACCAGAUUUGGGUGGUCAAGUCUGCUCAGGAUGUCGACUUCUACACGAAACUCGCGCUCCCCUUCAGCUUCUUUAAAUGGCGGCAGCUCCAUUUUCUUGAUUGCGACAACCUCCAAGAAAAAAUUAAUAAUUCCCUUGUAAACUCGGCCAAACCCUCCUUUUCCGAGAAAAUUCUCAUCACUGAAAGAGCAUGUUGCAUCUUCCAUUUCCUUGAGAGUGAAAACCGAUGAUCCAUGGUGUCGCUUUGUGGACUUGGAUGUUUGAUUGUCAAGUUGCCAAUACUCCGCCGGUUUGUAAACCCCUGAGAAGUUAGGUAGGUUAGUUGAUGUUUAGCCUACUAAAGACUAUUCUGAAAAGACAUGCUUUCUCGGUUUUGAUAUUAGAAACCCGGUCUUAAGACAUGGAGAAAAAAGAUAGGAAGAAGAAGAAGAAGAAGAAGAAGAAGAAGAAGAAGAAAAAGAAAUUGAAGAAGAAACAUACAAGGGUCUGUCUCAUGGGCCUUACUUCUCCGCCGCUUGUUCCAUGCCGAAACCAACCCGAAAGGCAUCUCUUCCUUGAAUGAUGGAUCUAAUUCUUGGUUUGGUACUUGAAUUUGCAGAUUACAUUAUAUGGAGAAGAAGUUCCUGAUGGGAAAAUCUAGUCGAAGUAGCAGUAGGGAAAUAAUUUGAUGUCAUGGAUUAUCUUAGAGAGGGUAGUAUCAAAAACAUCAAAGUUUUGGCAUAACUUGUCCUGGGUUUAUUAGCCUGUUCAAACAAAUAUGAAGAAAAAUGGAAAAGAUAGCAAACGUGUAGAAGAUAGUAGUAGAGAGUGCUAAAAAAUCCUCAGAGAAGUACGUGGAAAUCAAGUGAAGUUAGAUUAGAGAAAUACCCAACAACAUUUUUCAACAACCUUAAUCUAGAGAGAAAAAAAAAAGAUGUACUUAAAGAAAAGAAAAUAGGUGGUAAAGUUGGGAUUGCUUGCUUGCUUACCUUACGAUGGGUGAUGGUGGGGGUGUUUUUUGUUUGAUAAGGAAA